GGGGAUGAUCGGUUUCGACGGUGACCUGUUCGUCGCAGGGAAGCGUGCCGAGAACGCCGGGUCCGCUCGUGGAUGCCCCCGGCAAAAGAAUAAGUGCUAAAUCUAACCGCACUGAGUUCGCUCUCGCUGCCUGAGCUUCGCGCCAGGAUUAACCAGUGAGCAGCAGCUCCGUUCACUCCUCCACGUCUUCGGGAGGAUGCUGAGCGUCGUUUAGGAGACUUGCUGAUGCAGCCGCGCCACAGGGCCGCAUCGGGACUUUUUCUGCGGAUAUGCCCGCCAUCAGCUGUCUGCGGCAUUGAUGGGGGCAGACAAAACUGCCGUACGGCCAGCAGACUACGCACGUAGAAGACUGAGGGUUCGGUCAUCGGACCGGGGUUCAAUUCCCCGCAUCUCCACCA
rnacentral:tmRNA from 1 species